UACGUAGGGUGCAAGCGUUUAAUCGGAAUUACUGGGCGUAAAGCGUGCGCAGGCGGUUUUGUAAGUCUGUCGUGAAAUCCCCGGGCUCAACCUGGGAAUUGCGAUGGAGACUGCAAGGCUAGAAUCUGGCAGAGGGGGGGUAGAAUUCCACGUGUAGCAGUGAAAUGCGUAGAGAUGUGGAGGAACACCGAUGGCGAAGGCAGCCCCCUGGGUCAAGAUUGACGCUCAUGCACGAA
rnacentral:rRNA from 1 species